GAUGAAGAACGCAGUGAAACGCGAUAAGUAAUGUGAAUUGCAGAAUCCAGUGAAUCAUCGAAUCUUUGAACGCACAUUGCGCCCGCCAGCAUUCUGGCGGGCAUGCCUGUUCGAGCGUCAUUUCAACCCUCGACCUCCCCUUGGGGAGGUCGGCGUUGGGGACCGGCAGCACACCGCCGGCCCUGAAAUGGAGUGGCGGCCCGUCCGCGGCGACCUCUGCGCAGUAAUACAGCUCGCACCGGGACCCCGACGCGGCCACGCCGUAAAACACCCAACUUCUGAACGUUGACCUCGAAUCAGGUAGGACUACCCGCUGAACUUAAGCAUAUCAAUAAGCGGAGGA
rnacentral:misc_RNA from 1 species